UACGGAGGAUCCGAGCGUUAUCCGGAUUUAUUGGGUUUAAAGGGUGCGUAGGUGGAUUGGUAAGUCAGUGGUGAAAGUUUGCAGCUUAACUGUAAAAUUGCCGUUGAAACUGCCGGUCUUGAGUGUGGAUGAAGUAGGCGGAAUUUGUGGUGUAGCGGUGAAAUGCAUAGAUAUCACGAGGAACUCCGAUUGCGCAGGCAGCUUACUAAACCAUAACUGACGCUCAGGCACGAAGGCGUGGGGAUCAAACAGGAUUAGAUACCCCGGUAGUCCCU
rnacentral:rRNA from 1 species